GUACUUGCUUUAGCAGAACAUACACUAAAAUUGGAAUGAUAAAGAGAACAUUAGAAUGGCCCUUGUCCAAGGAUGACAUGCAAAUUCAUGAAUCAUCCUAUACUUUU